CAUCCUUAAAGUGAUCCCGCAGGUAGGUUUUAUCACUCCUUUGCAGAGUUAGAAGCUGAAACUUACCCAAAGUCAUGUGAGGAUUUGAACCUAGUGCUUUCCUGACUCCCUAAAGACCAUACUCUUUCCAGUACUCUGAGCCAAGGGAGCCAGAGGGCAGAAAAGGCACAUGAGGGCCCCUCCCUCCCUUCACUUCCACUGGGUCUAUUGGUCAUUUUGUCAAGACAUCUUAGGGGUGAGGGGUGGGGGGCAAGGAUGCUCCCCGGAACCAGUUGGUGUGCUGGAGCCAGCUCAGACCAGCUGGUGAGAGUAAUUGUCAAAUAUUCAGCAAUUUUACAAGCUGGUUGUUAAACCAUUGACAAUUGGAAAUUGGUCAUGGUAGGAGGGAGUAUUUGUACCAUGGAAAUUGGUAACCUCAACAAAUCAGGGAUUGUGACCCACCAGCCCCACAACCUGCCACCCUAGCCCCCGACGCGGGUUUACCAGCAUACCGCUGCAAAUGAACUCUUGCUGAGGUUUUAAAUGCCCCUAACAGAGCAUUAACUUUGAGGCCCAGAAUGAGAGCCGAGGAUGACAGCGUCUGCCUGCAGUGGUCACAAGCUUUCAACUACAGAUUGAGGAAGGAUAGACAUAUCUGGUGGAAAAUGAGGAAGUGAGUGCACGUGGGAGAGAGGAAAGAGGCUGUGGAACAUUAGCUAUUCACACAUGAACAAAGCGCCAACAUUUUAAUCACGGGGAUUUUUGGGAGAGGGAUUAUGGCUUGUCAUUAGAGUCCUUUUCUUUCAGAGCAAUGGAAGAAGAGAUCCAAAUCAUGUGGAGACUAGAAAAGUGCCCUGGAUUGGGGGUCGGGGGCACUGCACCACACAGAAGAGGGAGGAACUCUUCUAUGGAAGAAAGGGUAGCUUUGAGCCUUGAGGUCUUGGGGUGGGAGGCAGUUUGUAGACCAUAUUCCUGAUCCUGAGUCGGCAGUUGGGGUCCUUUUGCUUGCCAGGUGGUGACCUUCCUCUGGCAGGGCCCCUAGAUUACCCAGGGCUAUAGGGGUCUGUGACUAGCAGAACAACUCUAAGCUCUGGGGACUAGCUCUCCAGAGCCCACCCCUGGGGGCUUUGGGUCAUCUCCAUCUGAGGUCUGGAGUCAGGGGCCUUCCUCAGCCAGUUUAGAUGCUGUAAAGAACCAGCCACCUCCCAUUAUAAAAUAAGACGUAUAUCCUUUGUGGGAGGGAGCAUCUUCAUGAGAAAAGGAAGGGACUUCCCAGCCCUGCCAUGUCCCUGAGAUUUCUCUGUCCCUUUAUGCUCAGGAACAAGCACAGCUGAAGUCAUCAGCACUGCAGUGACUUGGAACAAUUAAAUAAGACUUCCCUAAAGGCCUAGAGCUAAGAAAAGGGAAAACAAAGAAUCCAGCAGCAGGAAAUUCGAAAAGUCACGUAGCUGGAGCGUGUGCAAAAGAGGAAAUCCUAAUCUGAAAUGACUGAGGAACCGAAGAUCCUCCUUUCCACAGAACUCAAGGAGUGGGACCCGAUGGGAACUUGAAAGUUGGACUCCUAUCAGAAUUGAAGGGUCAGGAAGAGCCGGUGUUAAAUUUCCUUCCCAAUCUCAUCAAAAAGCUUAGAACUCCAUCAUAAAAGUUGAGGACCUCGUAAUAAAUGUUUAGAACCCUGUCAUCAAUGUUUAAAAUCUUACCAUAAAUGUCUGAAGCCCACCAAUCAAAACCCAUAUUGCCAGCGUUUCUUCAUGCCAGCCUGUCCUCUCUAACCUCUUCCAUUUUGCCCCAAAUCCUGAAUCAGGGAGACAGGACUGAAGGCACAUGCCCCCUGUCUCCUUGCAGAUCGAUCUCACAGAAUAAAACUGAUUUCUCCCCCAAAAGCUGCUGCUGUAAUUAAUUGGUUUUUUAAUUUAUGUGCAUCAGGCAAGAGAACCCCAGUUUUGUGCGGUAACACAGG
rnacentral:lncRNA from 1 species